UACUAGCCUCCGUUCUACAUGGUCGCUAACAUUAACUAUCUGUCUAACGUUGGGUAAUGCUGUGUGCUUCAUCUGCUCUUCAUUCUCUACCUACAACAUUGUAACAUGCUUUCUUAACCGCCGUUAUAUAUCAGCCUUAGCUGUCGUUCAAGUUUUUGCUUAACUACGUAGUCAAAACAAAAUUCCCUUCCGAUAUUGCUUGUGUCGACAGUGCUGCGACGGAAACGACGAUACAUUUAGCCAGUCUAGCCACAUCUAUUCAAAAUGUAAACGAGUAAGGCGUUCUUCACGGUCGGGAAAAAUUUUAUGACCACCUUAGUCUUGUUGUUAGCCACUCUUAUGCAUAACACUUACUAACGUUAUUUGCUACGCGAAAAGUAUCAUGGAUGUGUAAGAUGUGUUCACCUAAGUAAUACAGACAUAACGCUAACGAGACUUUUCAUUGCAUCUGUUAUUUUAUUUAUUCGGUGUCCAAUAAAGACACACUGUCAGGGAGGUCGGCGUGAGAGCGUGACAGUCUGUGCACUUUCCAGUAAUGCACGCAUUCAGAAGGAGUCUGUUGCACACAGCUACAAUUUCACUCAAUCAACAUGUCAUAUGCACCAUUUUAAAGAAGAAUCUUGCCGCCUAGGAGAACUUCGUCAAUGUGGUCCACGGUGUGGGUGUUGCAAGCUUUAUAUUGUAUUGUAGCUGUCUGUCACAGUUAUUGCUUUAUAAAAUGUGUUGAUAAUCAGAAUGGUUGUUAACAGCCUGAUUGUUGACAGGAUGCAGGAGAGAUGUAACCCCUGAGAUCACAAUUUCCACUAUCUCUCUCUCUCUCUGCAGCAAUCCGCCAGGCCGUCUCCAGAUCUCUUGUGGCAUGCUACCAGAAAUAUGUGGAUGAAGCCUCUAAGAAGUAGAUCUGACAUCCUGAUCCAGUACCACGGGACCUUGUUGGUGGCCGACUCCCGCCACUCCUGGUCCGACGAGUUUGCUGGACCCGGAGCUCGCCCUCGCUACCAAAAGUCUUACUGUUAAAAAUGUUGUCUUUGCUUUUAUAUACAAUAAAAAUGAAAAUGACCUAAA